UACGGGGGGGGGCAAGCGUUGUUCGGAAUUACUGGGCGUAAAGGGCGCGUAGGCGGCCUGCUAAGUCGGAUGUGAAAUCCCUCGGCUCAACCGAGGAACUGCAUCCGAUACUGGCGGGCUUGAAUCCGGGAGAGGGAUGUGGAAUUCCAGGUGUAGCGGUGAAAUGCGUAGAUAUCUGGAGGAACACCGGUGGCGAAGGCGGGUCUCUGGGCAGUAACUGACGCUGAGGAGCGAAAGCGUGGGGAGGCGAACAGG
rnacentral:rRNA from 1 species